rnacentral:misc_RNA from 1 species
UGCCGCCAGAUCAUAGUUCAAGCAGAUUAACAAAUUCAGAAAUUACGGUGGGCUGUUCCUGUUUUCAUAACUUGCCCAUCUACUUUAAGUUAGCAAAUUAUGAAUUCAGGAUAACAUAAAAAGAAUAUUAUAGCUAACUGCAGAACUUCAUGCCCAAGUUGCAGAAAAAUACCCUCCUAAGGAAAGACAAUGAAAGGUCAAAGAAGCCUUAUUUCUCAUGAACAAGGGGGCUGUAAACUGGGAACCACAUGUCGCGCGAGAUGUAUUCCACCGUCUCCUCUUUAGACAUGUUCUUGAGCUCUCUGGGGCCCACAUCACCAUGUCCUUCUGCCAAACCUUCUGCAACAGCUGCUCGUAAAACAGCAGCACCAACCUCAGCCGUAAUGUGUCGAAUACUAUUAACAGAUGG